rnacentral:rRNA from 1 species
GACGAACGCUGGCGGCGUGCUUAACACAUGCCAGUCGAACGAAGAGCGAUGGAAGCUUGCUUCUAUCAAUCUCAGUGGCGAACGGGUGAGUAACGCGUAAUCAACCUGCCCUUCAGUGGGGUACAACAGUUGGAAACGACUGCUAAUACCGCAUACGAGCUAAUCUCGGCAUCGAUGAUAGAUGAAAGGUGGCCUCUACAUUUAGUCUAUCACUGAAGGUGGUGAUUGCGUCUGAUUAGCAAGUUGGAGGGGUAACGGCCCACCAAGGCGAUGAUCAGUAGCCGGUCUGAGAGGAUGAACGGCCACAUUGGGACUGAGACACGGCCCAGACUCCUACGGGAGGCAGCAGUGGGGAAUCUUCCGAAAUGGACGAAAGUCUGACGGAGCAACGCCGCGUGAGCGAUGACGGCCUUCGGGUUGUAAAGCUCUGUUAAUCGGGACGAAAGGCCUUCUUGCGAAUAGUGAGAAGGAUUGACGGUACCGGAAGAGAAAGCCACGGCUAACUACGUG